rnacentral:rRNA from 1 species
UAAGGAAUAUUGGUCAAUGGACGCAAGUCUGAACCAGCCAUGCCGCGUGGAGGAUGAAGGUCCUCUGGAUUGUAAACUUCUUUUAUCUGGGACGAAACACUUCUUUUCUAAGAGGCCUGACGGUACCAGAUGAAUAAGCACCGGCUAACUCCGUGCCAGCAGCCGCGGUAAUACGGAGGGUGCAAGCGUUAUCCGGAUUCACUGGGUUUAAAGGGUGCGUAGGUGGGUAUGUAAGUCAGUGGUGAAAUCCCCGAGCUUAACUUGGGAACUGCCAUUGAUACUAUAUAUCUUGAAUACCGUAGAGGUAAGCGGAAUAUGUCAUGUAGCGGUGAAAUGCUUAGAUAUGACAUGGAACACCAAUUGCGAGGGCAGCUUACUAUGCGGUGAUUGACACUGAGGCACGAAAGCGUGGGUAGCAAACA